CAGCAGCCGCGGUAACACGAAGGGGGCUAGCGUUGCUCGGAAUUACUGGGCGUAAAGGGAGCGUAGGCGGACAUUUAAGUCAGGGGUGAAAUCCCGGGGCUCAACCUCGGAAUUGCCUUUGAUACUGGGUGUCUUGAGUAUGAGAGAGGUAUGUGGAACCCCGAGUGUAGAGGUGAAAUUCGUAGAUAUUCGGAAGAACACCAGUGGCGAAGGCGACGUACUGGCUCAUUACUGACGCUGAGGCUCGAAAGCGUGGGGAGCAAACAGGAUUAGAGACCCCAGUAGUCCCUGUCUCUUAUAC
rnacentral:rRNA from 1 species